AAAAUGCUCUAUAUCCACACUAUCCAAUAUGGUAACCACUAGCCACUUGUGACUACUGAGUGUCUGAAAGGUUCUGCUUGAAUUCUUGCCCUGGCUCUUGGUGAAGGAUCGGCCUGCUGGAUCUGAGUCAUCCACCUAUAAGAGGGACAACACCACACAUUGGUCGCUGCUCUCAAGCCCCUGGAAUACCACCCCACUUGGCUUCUCCUGAGAUGGGCUCUCACUAUAGCCCUGUUCUGGAACUCCUGGGCUCAAGCCAUCCUCCCACUUUGGCCUCCCCAAAAUGCUGGGAUUACAGGCGUGAACCACCGCAUCUAGCCUAAAAUUAUAUUGUUAAAAGACUUUGUUUCUCAGUUUGGGAUAAUCAGAAUUCAUAGUUCUGAUCUCGACUACCAGUUUUAAUGAGGUACUUCUUUCUAACUCCAUCAGCUGUGUGGCUAUCUGCAGAUACCACCCACAUAAACAAAAACUUUUUGGGAGUCCUCCAGAAUUUUUAAGAGUUAUCUAAACUAUUGCCUUUAAUGACCAGGAACUCCAAUUUGAGAAGUUACCCUACGUUAAGCCAACAGCAGCCUGGCUCCUUCAUCCUGUGCAGUAUGGGACAGAGCUGGGUCCUUGUUGUCAUCAGCCAGACAAGCACACAUUAAAGCCCACCUUAGCCAUUGGCAUUACAGCUUUAAAAGCAGCUCCAUCCUACCAUGCUGUCACUCUACUCAAUCACGUGAUCUUAACGACCAGCUCUACAUAUCCUCUCUCCAUGCCCCCACCACCAUCCCCCACCAACAAAUCCGGUAAUCUAUCUCUGUCAAUAGUCCUGCAGUGAAUUCCGAAUAAGUUUUUCUCUUCCCUGGCCUGCCGUUUACGUAGUACCCUGGAUGAAUCUAUACUUACUCCAUAGUAAGUAGUACCUUGGAUGAAUCUAUACUUGCAUCCAAUGGAAAUGAGAGUGAUGGUGCAGAGUUAUCCGAAGUAACUCCAGCUAUGUUGUGGAUCUUCUAAUCAUGGGCUCAUCUAAGCCUUCCCAGAUAUCACUCUAGUUUUUACAAUCUUUGUUUAUGACAAUUAGGGCUGUAACAUUGGCUGUAGACAUUUGUUGCAUCAAGGAACUCAGCUUCCACUGAAGUUCUGAAGUUAAUCAGUUUCUGAUCUUGUUCUGCAACUCUCUGCAAGAAGAAAAAUCACCAGGAAAUAGUGCAUCCUGAAAGGAGUCAAAGUUUCCUUAUCCAGCUGGAGCAGUGUGAUCUCGGACCAGAGUCAAUUCCUUGCCCAACAGACUUCACAUUGAGCCAUGAGAAGCAGCCUACUUACCCUUACCUGGACACUUCUCCAAAACCUGUGAAAUGGCCUCUGUCACUGCCUCAAAGCCUCAUCCUUGGUGGGCAACUCACCUGGAUCCUGAGACCAAAAUAUAGAGCUUAAUGAACUGC
rnacentral:lncRNA from 1 species